AACGAACGCUGGCGGCAUGCCUAACACAUGCAAGUCGAACGAGACCUUCGGGUCUAGUGGCGCACGGGUGCGUAACGCGUGGGAAUCUGCCCUUGGGUUCGGAAUAACAGCGAGAAAUUGCUGCUAAUACCGGAUGAUGACGUAAGUCCAAAGAUUUAUCGCCCAAGGAUGAGCCCGCGUAGGAUUAGCUAGUUGGUGAGGUAAAGGCCUACCAAGGCGACGAUCCAUAGCUGGUCUGAGAGGAUGAUCAGCCACAUUGGGACUGAGACACGGCCCAAACUCCUACGGGAGGCAGCAGUGGGGAAUAUUGGACAAUGGGCGCAAGCCUGAUCCAGCCAUGCCGCGUGAGUGAUGAAGGCCCUAGGGUGUAAAGCUCUUUCACCGGUGAAGAUAAUGACGGUAACCGGAGGAAGAAGCCCCGGCUAACUUCGUGCCAGCAGCCG
rnacentral:rRNA from 1 species